rnacentral:rRNA from 1 species
UACGUAGGCAGCAAGCGUUGUUCGGAGUUACUGGGCGUAAAGGGCGCGUAGGCGGUCAGCACAAGUCAGUUGUGAAAUCUCCGGGCUUAACUCGGAAAGGUCAACUGAUACUGUGCGACUAGAGUGCAGAAGGGGCAACUGGAAUUCUCGGUGUAGCGGUGAAAUGCGUAGAUAUCGAGAGGAACACCUGCGGCGAAGGCGGGUUGCUGGGCUGACACUGACGCUGAGGCGCGAAAGCCAGGGGAGCGAACGGG